rnacentral:misc_RNA from 1 species
GAUGAAGAACGCAGCGAAAUGCGAUAAUUAAUAUGAAUUGCAGAAUUCCGUGAAUCAUCGAGUCUUUGAACGCACAUUGCGCCUCAUGGCAUUCCGUGAGGCAUGCCCAUCUCAGCGUUAGAAAAUAUUCUCAAAUUUUAGUUUUGUGCUAAAAUUUGGAUCAUGUCAAGGAAGCUAUUACUAUUAUUGUGAUCGCUCUUUGGAAAUUGAUAGGUCUUUGAGUUGCUACUCAUAGAACGUGAUGAAUCUUUCUUCGUUCUAUUGUAAUUCACUCUGGUAGUCCUAAAACUUGUAUGCCUGUGGCAUAUCUUGUAAUUUGACCUGAGAUUGGGUAGGGAUACCCGCUGAACUUAAGCAUAUCAAUAAGCGGAGGA